rnacentral:siRNA from 1 species
UAUAACAACAAGACCUCUGCU